rnacentral:rRNA from 1 species
AGGAAGAAUUUCUACAUAGAGACUAGUAAAUGUGAGUUAUGUGAUGAUGAACCGAAUGAACAUCUAAUGCACCUACUUUUUAGCUGUGAUUUCAGCCAAAACUUCUGGAUGAACAUUGGAUAUCAAUGGGACACUGAUUAUAACCUGAUGGAAAUGCUCUUGGAGGGUAGGAAACAAGAUACUUAUGGAUGUUUUAAAGAGUGUUUAAUUGCUGGUUGCUGGAGUCUAUGGAAGCACAGAAAUAGCAUCAUUUUUUAUCACAAGGACAAGAAUAUGGCAUACUGUAUUGCUAUGUUCAAGAAGCACUUCAGCAUGAUCAUUAAGAAGGCAAAACCUGGAUUGAAGGAGGGAAUGCAAAGCUGGCUAGAUCAUUUGUAG